UUGUGCCAUUGCACUCCAGCCUGGGCAACAAGAGCGAUACUCCAUUUCAAAAUAAUAAUAAUGAUGAUAAUAAUAAUUAUUAUAAUAAGGAGAAACUUACUUGGCAAAUUCAGAGAUGGGAAAUCUUGAAAGAGUCUCUCAAUUGGAAAUGAAGGAAAUUGGGCAGCAUUUUCUUCUUCAUUUCUCACCUUCUCCUCUAGGUACCAGACAGACUCCUGGGAAGUCAGGGAAGUCAGGAGAAAAAGUUUCAGUCUCGCCUAGGACAGAUAGGACAGAAAGCUCAUGUUGACAAGCCAGAGCUGAGGGGGCUGCCACCAGUUAAGAUCUUCUCAAGCACAAGCAUUCCAGUACUAUUAGCCCUCCCUUGGACACAAAGAGUAGUGGCCAGACUGGGGUCAUGCUCAACGUGGGGUAGCAGAGAUGUCUGUGGUGCCCAGAAGUAGAGAAACAGUUCCAGGCUCCAAGCAGAGUGUUUUGAAAAAGACUUUUUUUGUGAAGUAUCAUGAAGCCCUCUCUCAGCUGCAAAGGACUCUUUAUCAGUGACAGCAGUGACUGUAGUGAUGGGUGCAGGGGACAGACCAUUCAACCCAGCUGAAAGGUAUCCUAGGGAACCAGUGAGGAGCCCUGGGAUGUUCUGACACCUGCAGUGGGCACUCCUGUGUGUGCAACUCAGAAAUGCAAGAGAUUUAAUAUCUUUCUGGGCAGCCCGUGACCAGUGGUGAAGGCAACCAAUGGAUGAACCCUAUCCCCUUUCUUUCCUGGAUGGAUGAUUCUGAGAAGUGUCUCAUAAGGUCCUGCCUUUCCCUGCUUUGCUAAACUACUUCCCUGUUCUGCAUUCCUGCUCCCUCAGGUUCCAUUCUCAAAUAAGUCAUCACCAUGUGAGCCUUUGUCUCAGGCUCUGCUUUUGAGGAACCCAGGCUAAAAUAGGAAGCAUCAAUAAAUGUUAGUUUUUAUGAACAUUAUUGCUGAUCUUGUAAAUGCCCCUCAUCUAGAAUAUUGCUGCAGGAAAUUCAAUCACCUACCAGCUGUUUCUAGGGCUUCCUAGAAAUCCUUAUUCCAUCCUUGCAGGUGCACAGCUUUUGUUGCUUCUGCCCUUCCUCUCGCCCUCUCUAUAUCCCUUCCCUAUGCUACUCCGGCCUUCCUGGUCUGCUUCUCCUAGAGCUAUGAAUACGCAGGCUUCCCCCAACCUACCCCUUUCUUUUCCCAGGCAUGCUUAGUCCAGCGCUUCGUGGGCAACAGAGAUGCAUAUGGAAAACCCAUGGGGACACGCUUGCUUCACCAAAUAAGGGAUGCUGCAAUUAACGGCCUGGACAGAGGAUGGGGACAUGAAUAAUGGUAGAGUCCAGCAUUAGCACAACACUCCAUUCAUCACUGCUGAAGGGCAAAUGCAUAACCCUCAAAAUGAUCCUGGAAAGAGGAAAAGGGAGAGGAAUUGCAAGUUCCAUGGAACAGUGAUUUACCAUGCAGCAGAGGAUGUGAGCAUCUCCGAAAUAGAAGGGUCCACAUAUUUUGAACUUUAACAUAUAUAAUGAUACUUAUAAUGUGACUGUUACGGGCAGCUGAUUUUUCAUACAAUUGACAUGUGAGUAUUUUCCAGGCAGGCAUCUUAUUUCCUGUGUAUGUGCCCCCUAUUUAUGCAGGACCAUCAACAGGACCAACAUUGAGUAGAAAUCAGUCACAGCAAACCACUUUCCUUUUUAUUUCAUGUACUCUGUACCCUCCUUUAAUGGCAACAUAAUUGCAUCAUAUCAUUGGUUUGUAGUGUGGAGGCUGUGGGUCUGAUUUUUAGUUUCCCAAUCCGUGCAGAAUAUUCAGAAGAAUAGAGGGUUGGAGACCUCUAGUUCAGGUCAAAAUCAGUGUGAAAGGCUUGACUUUGGAAAGGGUAAAGAGAGUUCAAUUUAAACUGAGUCUCCAGCUAGGGGCAGGGAGAGGAAAGAGGAGUUAGUCUCCCACAAGAGGAGACUAGCAUAAUCUUUGUGCCCUAAUUAGGCAUCCUUGGGCUUAGGGAAUUACUAGGGGAUACGGGAGUGUAAUGCAGGAAAACCAAGGCAGAAGUCAUGUCCGAGAGUCUGGAUCAAUCCUUCAGGGCAGGGGGUGGAGCAAGGGAAGAAAGGGGAGCUGUGCCAAGGGGUCUACCAGUGGGCCCAGGGCAGAUCCCAAGUCCAUAAGCAAUAGGAUCAGGUCCAGGUACCACCUUCUUGAAAUCUGAGGCUGCUGCUGUACUUCCUGCCCCUGCUACCUUGGGCCUGGGGCUGUAAAUGUCAUCAGAUAGUCCACCUGGAAGGGCCUGUGGAAAGCAAAAUCAGAGAAACAAGGCAGGAGCUGGCCACUUGUGAAAUUUUUCCUGGAAACUCUGUCAUGGAAUCAUGUUUUAGAUACCAGAAGGAAGGGCUGCUCUGACUAACUGACCAUGAAUCGGAGAAGAGGCCUGCGAUGAUCUAGGCAGUGGGUUAUGGGAGAGGAAUGGAAAACUGCAGAAUGGAUUCUCCAGCCCAUUCAGCGCUCAUACUACAUGGGCAUGUUCACAGACCUGCAGGCUUUGCCUUUGUCUGUCUCCCUGCUUUUGGAAGGGAUGGCACAGCUUUGCCCCCUUUCCUGGAGGCACAGUAGUCUGACUUGAGUCUUUCGCUGUCUUCUGUAUCCAACUCAUUCAUGAAAUUAUAUGAGAUAAUUUCCAAAUAAGUGACUUUUUUGGCUUAUUUGCCCAAUUGACUUAAUUAUUGCCGGUUUAUUCUUCUUGUUUUGGAUUCCUUGAGCUGAGAGAGUGAAAAAGGGAGUUUAUUUAAGAAGAUAAGGACAGAUUAGGUUUUCAAUUUGGUGGUAUGAUGCAGUCUGCUUUCUUAACUCUAUUAUGACCUAUUUAGUGUUUGUUUUUCUCUUAUUGUGGAAGUAACAUAUGCUGAUUAUAGAGAUAUAGAAAAAGAUAAAAAGUAUCCAUUUCAAUUGACCAAUAAUGUCCUCUCAGCAAUUUGGUGUAUAUCAUGUAUUUUUAAAUAAACAGAUUGCUUUGUAAAUACACUUUAUAUCUUACUGUUGUAACAUUAAAAAAAAGGUGGUUAAAAUGGCGAGCAAGUGCAGAACAGCAGCACUUGGAAAGUAAGCUGGGGAUGGCAAAAGCCUCAAUUUCUGUUUCCACAAAGCACUCUGUUCUCUUUGUUGAUCACUGAGACCCAGAAGCUACCAUCUCCAGUGGAACUGGAACCUUUGUUUUUCUUGAUCUCUGCAUCGUGUGGCUCAGCCCCGGUUGGAACUGAAGCUUGGAAUAAAGCCACAGUGAGCUGGGUCACACUGUUUCUUAGACUUCCCCCCACAGUACCUUGUUUGGAGAGAAUUAUAACUGAAAGGGAAAAAAUUCCCUCUGGCAAGAAACUUGGCUUAGAAAUGCUCAUUUGGAGAAGCUUAUUAUUAUUAUUAUUUUUUGGUUUUGCUGUUUAAAUAAGGUCACUGCUAUAAAUCAAUGUUUGUGAGUGUUAGAGAAGACCAAGUAAAUAAAUAAAGCCCUACGUAUUUAUUGUAAACAGAAACACCCUAGAGGUUCUCCAGGGGAAGAGAGAGUGAGAGAAAGGUCACCAUUUCUUGCAUACAGAAAAUUAACUGUUUCAUUAGUUUAGAUAGAAACACAUUUUUUCUUUAAAAUUAGUUAUGAGGAAAAUAUUUCCAAGUUUGUGCCUCUUAUUAGGUGUAUGAAGUAUCAAAAAUAUUAAGUACAACUAACAGCAUUAGGACUUGUUCUCACCUCAACUCCAUCAUCUGAAUAAAACCACUGAAAAAGAGAAAAACAGCUCCUGACGUAAGGAAACUGGCCUGAUAUUUACAUCUAGUUCAUAGUGUUUGCCUGUUGGACACAAAUGAUCUCAUAGAACAUCAACAACAGACCAAGGCACUCUGACUAUAAUGGAGUGAGAGAAAAAACAAGUGAGACAAGACAACUUCAAAAUUUUGUCUAAGCACAGGCAAAACCAAAUGACCCAAAUACCAGACAUCCUCCUCUCUUGGCUAACAUGAGUGACUAUCAAAGCUUUAGCCUCUAUGUGUUCCUCUUGACUUAUAGAGAAGAUUCAUUAGGAUACUGAUAUGGUUUGGCUCUGUAUCCUCACCCAAAUCUCAUCUUGUAGCUCCCAGAAUUCCCACGUGUUAUGGGAGGGACCCAGUGGGAGAUAAUUGAGUCAUGAGGGCGGGUCUUUCCUGUGCUGUUCUCGUGAUAAUAAAUAAGUCUCAUGAGAUCUGAAGGUUUUAAAAAUGGGAGUUUCCCUGCACAAGUUCUCUUCUCUUGUCUGCUGCCAUGUGAGAUGUGCCUUUCACCUUCUGCUGUGAUUGUGAGGCCUUCCCAGCCACAUGGAACUGUAAGUCCAAU
rnacentral:lncRNA from 10 species